UACGUAGGCAGCGAGCGUUGUUCGGAAUUACUGGGCGUAAAGAGUGCGUAGGCGGUGCUCUAAGUUUGGUGUGAAAUCUCCCGGCUCAACUGGGAGGGUGCGCCGAAAACUGGAGUGCUCGAGUGUGGGAGAGGUAAGCGGAAUUCCUGGUGUAGCGGUGAAAUGCGUAGAUAUCAGGAGGAACACCUGUGGUGUAGACAGCUUACUGGACCACGACUGACGCUGAGGCACGAAAGCGUGGGUAGCAAACAGG
rnacentral:rRNA from 1 species